UACGUAGGUGGCAAGCGUUGUCCGGAUUUACUGGGCGUAAAGGGUAUGCAGGCGGACCCCUAAGUAGAAAGUGAAAGGUGGGAGCUCAACUCCUACACUGCUCUCUAUACUGAGGGUCUUGAGUGCCGGAGAGGAAGAUGGAACUGCACGUGUAGCGGUGAUAUGCGUUGAGAUGUGCAGGAACACCAAUGGCGAAAGCAAUCUUCUGGACGGAUACUGACGCUGAUAUACGAAAGCCAAGGGAGCGAACAGG
rnacentral:rRNA from 1 species